rnacentral:lncRNA from 1 species
AGGUUGGAGUACAAUGGCAGUGAUCUCGGCUCACCGCAACUUUCGCCUCCUGGGUUCAAGCGAUUCUCCUGUCUCAGCCUUCCGAGUCGCUGGGAUUACAGGUGCAUGCCACCACACCCAGCUAAUUUUGUAUUUUUAGUAGAGGCAGAGUUUCUCCAUGUUGGUCAGGCUGGUCUUGAACUUCCGACCUCAGGUGAUCCACCCCACCUCGGCCUCCCAAAGUGCUGGUAUUACAGGCGUGAGCCACUGCGCAAGGCUCUUUUUCUCAAAUUUUUAAAUCAACUGCUUUCCCCCCAUAAUUUUACGAUAUUUGGUUCCUCUUGUUUAAAUUCUUUCAUAUAAAUAAAUUAGUUAUGUCAACACUUGUACUUUACGACUUGCUUUCGCUUUUAUAGACUCCAAAAGUUUGGUAAAGUUUAAGCUGUGAUUUCACCUCGCACAGACUGGAAGAAAAUCAUCAUGGGCAGACAAGACUCUGAUUCUUCCUGGGAUCAGUGAACUGGGAGGCUGGCGGUUGAGCAGGCAAAAGAGGGCUGUUGAAAAGAUGUUAGCGUCAGGCAAAAAGCACACAUUUACCAAAAAACAAACAAAAGCAGAGAACAACUGCUGUAUACAAUUGUAUUUACAGCUCAGAGGAGGAUCUGGAUUGUCACGGAUGAAUUCUUACACAUGUGGACUGUUAAGGUUCCAUUGCAUAUCUGAACAUGAUCUGCAUGUAUUCCUCUGGAUGGGGUAAAUGAAGUUGGUGCCUGAUAACCUCUACACCAUGUCCCUUAUCCACAUGAUAUUCUUUGCUGCUACUUCAAAGCCAGACAUGGAGUUCUGGAACUCUGCGGGUGUGAGCUUGGAAUCCAGUAUGCCUGAGGAUGGGCCUCGCCACCUGUGUGCUUUGUUUACUAUCUGGGCUUCUGCCCCAGUUCCUGUUCACCCUUUCCAUUCUCCCUCCUGGAACUGGAGUUCUGCCCUGAACCCCAGUUUACUUGGCCGGAGCCCACAUAUGGUUUUUCACCCUUGCCAGGUCUCACUCUGGGACUGUGGAUAA